GGGCACGUAGCUCAGUCCGGAUAGAGCGUCGGACUUCUAUCUCCGCUGGCGCUGCCAUCGGGGGAAGACAUCCGACGGUCGUGGGUUCGAAUCCCACCGUGCCCG
rfam:Haloarcula marismortui ATCC 43049 chromosome I, complete sequence.